UUGGCAUUCUAUAUACUCAAUCUGAAACUUUACAACACUUCUUAUAAAUAAGCAUUAUUUUCCUCUUUGAGCCUCAGCUAACUUAAAGGUCCAAAGUAACACAAUCAAGUUAUAAUACUGACAUCUAUCUCCAUGGGAGGUGUUGACAUUUUGCUGAAACCUUCCAAGACGGGAACUCCUGCUGUGGAUAGGAGAUGCCAUUUCAUUGAAAAUGAGAAAUCAGAAGUCAAAUAUACUGUUUAGUCCAAGCUUGGAAACUUUUGACCUCUGACUCUGUUACCAUUGUGGAAAGAAUUGUUCAAAUCCCUCAACUACCAGGGCAGACAAUCCAAGAAAAAGAAAACAUAUACAAGCUGCAAGAAAAAUAAAUUCCCAAUCAACAUUUUUUGCCA
rnacentral:lncRNA from 1 species